AGGUCUCCAAGGUGAACAG
rnacentral:ncRNA from 3 species